UUUGUACUCCCUCCGUCCCAAAAUUCUUGUCUUAAAUUUGUCUAAAUACGGAUGUAUCUAGUUACAUUUUAGUGUUAGAUACAUCUGUAUCUAAACAAAUGUAAGACAAGAAUUUUGGUACGGAGGGAAUACUAC
rfam:Triticum urartu cultivar G1812 contig1008657, whole genome shotgun sequence.